AUCGUCGCGAGGCGGGGUCUGAAGGAAAGCGUGUAGCAAAGCCGCGACCUGACGAACAGAAAUCGGAUGUGAGGCCUACCCAGGCGGACGAGCGAGCAAUGGAUCGCGAAGUCCAUAACCAACCAUCAAGGGCUGGGAUGGUAAAUCCGGCAGGUGUGCGGUGAAGGCGGUUGAGCU
rfam:Candidatus Burkholderia crenata strain TZHbot9 BCREchr_ctg104, whole genome shotgun sequence.